GCAUGGGAAGCUGUCCCUGGGACUCUCUAAGCCAUCUCAGGUCCCAGUCCCCUGCUCAGAGUUUCCUUCCAGCCCGCAGUUACCAACCGCUCCUCGUGCGAGGCUCUUGUCACUGCAAGAAUGACAUGGUGUCAGGGUGUCAGUCCGUGACUCGCCUCGGCAGUCUGAGGGGUCACUAGCUCAGCUGUGCCUGGAGCACAGACCUGCCUGGGAGGACACCUUCUUCCCCGGGAGCAGUCCCAGUGCCGCACGCUGGAAGUCCUGGGAGCAGGCUGGUGCAGCAAAGGGUUGCUGAAUGAUGAACAACUGGAAACAUGAAUGCUGACAUGCAACUGUCGUGUUCCAAAGCUUCAGCCAAAAAGGAGAACCUGUCCCAGACUUGAGUGAUUUCACGUCUCCUGUGCUCCAGCUAACCGUGCAGCAGUAAAGGGAGGGAAACCAGCCAGAUGGAAAGCAAAAUGACAGAGCACACGAUGGACCUACAAAUCAAAGCACAUCCCAAUCAUAAGGAGACUGCAGAGGCUGAUGCUGUUGCUAACUCUGAAGGAUCACACACGAUACAUUUGUGCUGAUGGGACAUUUCUUGCCAUGCUGUUUACAGCCCCAGAGCGGUGGGGAAUGGAGUGACAUCCUGCUGGCACCGCUCACACGUGGUGUUCCCCAGGGCUCAGCGCCGGGGCCAGUCCU